GGACAGACCUCGAGGGUAACUUAAAAACGCCACGUGCUAUUUUUUUCACACCUCCCCGUGGAAAUUUGGGAUCUGUCCUGCGAGCGUCCGCCUUGCGCAGAAGCGUCUCUUGCUGUGAAACAUUACUUUUUGCAGUCGUCAACAAGGACGGGCGCGACGUAAGAAAGCCCAGGGAGCGUCGACAAAGCCCAUCAGAAGAUUGUCAAGAAUGCUAACAAUUCUUGCGUUCCUCUGCUCCUCUUGUCUGCUGUCAGGACUGAAGUGUUGACGGAAGAGUGCUAGUUGCUGGUAGAACCCUCCUCCGCUUUCGUCGGUGUGUAGACACAGCGUCACUGGACUGCAUGAGCAUCAAUCAUAACGAGAGAGAGGUACUGUUUCAAUUGUAUCAGCGAGUUCAAUAGUCGAUGGUGCAUUUUUACGACGGCCACAUGUGUGGCUCCCUUGGAAGCCUCUCUUGAAAAGCGCUCCUGACAAACAUGUCUGCAGAAAGGGACAGGCGGAGCAUGAAAUUUCCUCUCGGGCUCUGGUACCUUAUUUAUCGCUAAAACGGGUUUUCUAGUUUUCUCGCUGUAGGAAUAGGUAAGCCGACUCUGGGCGAGCGGACCGCUUUUCCUGAAAACAACUGAAUGAUCACCUCUAGAUUCCCAGCUUUAAGAUGCACCAAAGUUGCACAGCCGAUCGCGAGUCCAUUUCGACCGGAGUUGUGUUUCCGCAGCAGAGAGCGUUCUGUUUGCUGUGGCUGUCAAGCGUUUUGGACGAAGGGCGUUUUGCCACCUCACUGAACAGUUCAGAACGGUGUUGUCAAGCAGCGGAUUAAUGCCUGUGGACGUGUUCAUCCAAUUCCUUCUGCUGUGCUCAAUAUCUCGCUAGAGUAGUGCAUUGGUCGGUCCACAGCAGAGGGCAGGAACAACUUCCGCCUUUCCUGCUAGGACCCUCGGUGCUGAACUGGCCCCUUUCUCCGGAGCAACUAGAAGCUCACCACUCAGUCAGACCCCGAUAUGCAUCUGUACACAAGUCUUUUGGCCGCUAUGGCGUACCAUAAAUGCCUGUUAUUUAUGAUAAGAACACAAAUCAACCGGUUGCAUUUUCUACAGGUAGAAUGGGAUUCCACCACUUACGCACAGUACUCUUUUGGGAGAGAUGGCGCGUUGCUUCGCUAGCAACAGGAAACCUAACGGAGAAAAAUCCGCACUAUCUGGACUGUCGAGGUCUCGGUCUGGCUUCACAGCAAGUGGACAAAGAAUACUAGCCUCCUGGUGCCUCUGUCAGCCCGC
rnacentral:lncRNA from 1 species